UACGUAGGGGGGCAAGCGUUGUCCGGAUUUAUUGGGCGUAAAGAGCGUGUAGGCGGCUGGGUAGGUCCGUUUGUGAAAAACUCGAGCUCAACCUCGAGACGCCGAUGGAAACCCUCCAGCUAGAGUCCGGAAGAGGAGAGUGGAAUUCCUGGUGUAGCGGUGAAAUGCGCAGAUAUCAGGAGGAACACCUGUGGCGAAAAGCGGCUCACUGGACCACAACUGACGCUGAGGCGCGAAAGCUAGGGGAGCAAACAGG
rnacentral:rRNA from 1 species